CACUGGGAAUUUUACUCAGCCAGGUGUCCUGCUGCCCUGCUGAGCCACAAACACUGAGCACAACCUGCCAGGGGAAUGUUUGCAUUGUGGCUUUGCCUUCGAAUCAAAAGGUGUUAAAGAUGUCAUUGAAGAGCUUAGAAUAGUGACUAAGCAAUUUCUAUACUUCAGUCUCUCAAGGCCUAACUUAGUCAUAUGGCCUCCUGCAGGUAUGCCUAAUAACUCCAGCCCCAGAGCCUGUAUCUUUUCACACCUUUUUACCAAGAAGGAAGCAUUGUCUUUGAUUGUCCAUCAGCCCUAAUCCUUUCUCAGCAUGAAGCUUGUUAGCAUAAUUGGAGAGAAGAAACCAAAAAGGAAAGAAAAGGAAAAUCCAUCAAAGAACGGUGCAUGGGGAAAUCAAAUAUCAAAUGCUUCCUGCUUCCAAGAAGAGAUGUAAUAUUCUGUGAAUGACUGACCUGGCUCUGACCUUGAUCAUGGGAGGCAAAACUCACAGCUGGGUAACACAUGGUGACUUGAACAGACUAGAGAACCAAGAACAAAAAAUACCAAAAAAAUUUGCUUCUUGGAAAACUAGAGAGACAGGCAACCAACAGUAAAUAUCUAUGAAAACCUGAGACUGAACAAGUGAGAGACCAGCAAAUUCAAAGACUUUCAGGUAAAUUCCACUAAUGAAACAGAACAUUCAACCUACGAGGCCAGUUUGGUGCCAUGGGAUGUUCAGUGCCUUGGCAGAAGUCCUCUGCCCUGCAAGCACAGCACCCUGCUGCACAGGGAACUGUACUGAACUCUGUCCUAACA